rnacentral:rRNA from 1 species
UAGGGAAUAUUGGACAAUGGGCGCAAGCCUGAUCCAGCCAUGCCGCGUGCAGGAUGACGGUCCUAUGGAUUGUAAACUGCUUUUGUACAGGAAGAAACAGUUCUACGUGUAGAACCUUGACGGUACUGUAAGAAUAAGGAUCGGCUAACUCCGUGCCAGCAGCCGCGGUAAUACGGAGGGUGCAAGCGUUGUCCGGAUUUAUUGGGUUUAAAGGGUGCGUAGGUGGCCCUGUAAGUCAGUGGUGAAAUAUCUCAGCUUAACUGAGAGGGUGCCAUUGAUACUGCAGGGCUUGAGUACAGAUGAGGUAGGCGGAAUUGACGGUGUAGCGGUGAAAUGCAUAGAUAUCAAGAGGAACACCUGAGGUGAAGACGGGUUGCUGGGCUGACACUGACGCUGAGGCGCGAAAGCCAGGGGAGCAAACGGGAUUAGAUACCCCAGUAGUCCCUGAGCGGGCUGGCAAGGCGCAU